rnacentral:lncRNA from 1 species
CUGAAUCUUGUAUGUCAUAUAAAAGAAUAAAUUGUCUUAUAUGAUGUGGGUCAUAGUGUCUGAUAAAAAGAGCUCAAGUGUCAAUAUAUCCGAGUUUGAUCUCACUAACCAUAAGAACCGAACCGUGAACACCGUCACUAGCGACUUUAGAUUCUUCACAUGAAAUAAUUGGUGAUUUCACAUCUAAUGUUUCCUACAAUAAAGAAAUAUACAUACAAAAGCCCAGUGUAAGAUCGAAUUGUCUUAAUUGUAAAGUCACUCAUAAGAAUCACAUAAUGAUUUCAUUGCACAUGUACAUAUUGG